AACGAACGCUGGCGGCAUGCCUAACACAUGCAAGUCGAACGAGACCUUCGGGUCUAGUGGCGCACGGGUGCGUAACGCGUGGGAAUCUGCCCUUGGGUUCGGAAUAACAGUUAGAAAUGACUGCUAAUACCGGAUAAUGUCUUCGGACCAAAGAUUUAUCGCCCAGGGAUGAGCCCGCGUAGGAUUAGCUAGUUGGUGAGGUAAAGGCUCACCAAGGCGACGAUCCUUAGCUGGUCUGAGAGGAUGAUCAGCCACACUGGGACUGAGACACGGCCCAGACUCCUACGGGAGGCAGCAGUGGGGAAUAUUGGACAAUGGGCGAAAGCCUGAUCCAGCAAUGCCGCGUGAGUGAUGAAGGCCUUAGGGUUGUAAAGCUCUUUUACCCGGGUAUGAUAAUGACAGUACCGGGAGAAUAAGCCCCGGCUAACUCCGUGCCAGCAGCCGCGGUAAU
rnacentral:rRNA from 1 species